rnacentral:lncRNA from 1 species
AGAAACCGAGCCAUCAGAGAGUGCAUUGUAGUGUGGUUGGAGAGAUUCCUAUAAGCCAUCUUCGUUUCUGUUAGGAUACCUUGUUCAUCUCACGUCCUGGGGUUGUUCUUGUGAUUCAUCUGGGUUAAUCUGGGUUCAUCUGGGUUCGUCUGAGGUGAGAGCUUUUUCUCUGCAAUGGUGCAUAAUCGAUUAUGCCUCAAUUAGAACCAGUCAGAUAAUCGA